AUCUCUUCGCCAUUGUUUAAUAUCAUCUAUAACUAUAUCAACUUUCCAACCUCUACUGAAAUUAAAAGCAUUGUGGUUGGAUGAGAACAACUUAGAAACAAUUCCGAAUGGGGCAUUUCAACGUCUGCAGCAGUUGGAAAUUCUAUCUUUAUCAACAAAUCAUUUAAUAAACAUCGAUUCAGGAACACUACAAGGACUGUGGAGUCUUUCCACUUU